ACUCCUACGGGAGGCAGCAGUGGGGAAUUUUGGACAAUGGGCGCAAGCCUGAUCCAGCAAUGCCGCGUGAGUGAAGAAGGCCUUCGGGUUGUAAAGCUCUUUUGUCAGGGAAGAAACGGUAGAGGCUAAUAUCCUUUGCUAAUGACGGUACCUGAAGAAUAAGCACCGGCUAACUACGUGCCAGCAGCCGUGGUAAUACGUAGGGUGCAAGCGUUAAUCGGAAUUACUGGGCGUAAAGCGUGCGCAGGCGGUUUUGUAAGUCUGACGUGAAAUCCCCGGGCUCAACCUGGGAAUUGCGUUGGAGACUGCAAGGCUAGAAUCUGGGCAGAGGGGGGUGAGAAUUCCACGUGUAGCAGUGAAAUGCGUAGAGAUGUGGAGGAACACCGAUGGCGAAGGCAGCCCCCUGGCCAGG
rnacentral:rRNA from 1 species